AGCGAACGCUGGCGGCAGGCUUAACACAUGCAAGUCGAACGGGCAUCUUCGGAUGUCAGUGGCAGACGGGUGAGUAACACGUGGGAACGUACCCUUCGGUUCGGAAUAACUCAGGGAAACUUGAGCUAAUACCGGAUACGCCCUUUUGGGGAAAGGUUUACUGCCGAAGGAUCGGCCCGCGUCUGAUUAGCUUGUUGGUGGGGUAACGGCCUACCAAGGCGACGAUCAGUAGCUGGUCUGAGAGGAUGAUCAGCCACACUGGGACUGAGACACGGCCCAGACUCCUACGGGAGGCAGCAGUGGGGAAUAUUGGACAAUGGGCGCAAGCCUGAUCCAGCCAUGCCGCGUGAGUGAUGAAGGUCUUAGGGUUGUAAAGCUCUUUUGUCCGGGACGAUAAUGACGGUACCGGAAGAAUAAGCCCCGGCUAACUUCGUG
rnacentral:rRNA from 1 species